UGAGAAAAACAUCUGAGAAAGCAUGGAAGAGGAGCUUACUGUUGAGCUAGAAUGUAUCCUGACAUGAUUAUCAGUCACGGCAGACAGAUUUUGAUAGAAACAAGAGCGCAGAAUAACAGGAUGUUGGUGGUCUAAAAGCAAACCAUGAGAUGUGCUAGAAAACAAACACAAACCCUUGCCAAAGAGUCUGGAUUAAACCUACAGAUAAGACUUCCUUCCGGUCUGUUGCUUGUAAAAUAUCCACAUCUCAGGAAAUCGUUCGAGAGGCAUUGAUGUUUGACGGCCAGAAUGUCUGAUGAAUAUCGAAACUUAAGCCAAUUUUACCACGUUUUUUCAACAAGCUUUUCGCUAAAGAUGUUUUUCUUUGCUCUUCCACGCACCUGUCGGGUAAGGUUGAACUCCUCCUCUCCUAAUCAGCCUCCCGAAAAAAGCUUCUCCCAAGUGGGUGGGACACCUACUCCUGUUGCCUGCUACACUGCUGCUUGGAUCCCACCUGGCAAUCUGUUCCCCAUCUGCCCUGGCCUGUCUCACCAUGUCUGGAACUCCUCUGUGUGGGAACUUGCAGGAAGGAAUAGACAAUGGUGGCAACAUCAGCGAUCUUCAUCUGCACAAACAAGCUAAACACCUUUCAUACACUAUGUUCCCCACCCCUGUUUGCACACAUAUGCUAACUGCCACAGACAAAGAGGUUGGACUUUUCUAUAAAAGUGGUAUAAAGAAAAUGAGAAUUAAAAACAAGUUCAGCCCCUGGUUCGACAGUGAUCUGGCAGUUACUCCACCUCAAGAAUUCCAUUUGGCGAAAGGCUCGGCACACGCACACUCAGGCUGACUGGCUCUCGUUCAGGCAAAAUGAGAAAUAAGUGCACUCAGGCCAUCCGGAAGGACAAAGUUAGUUACUUUAAGGAGCACUUCUCUCUCUGUGGGUCUAACCCCAAGAAGUUCUGGAAAACAUUUAAAGACCUGGAGAAUAAAUCCUCCUCCUCACAGCUGCCCAUGUCCAUUAAUGUUGAUGAUGUAGUUGUUUCUGAAAAGGAGCCCAUGGCUGAGCUCUUUAAUCACCACUUCAUUCAGUCAAGAUUCCUAUUUGACUCAGCCAUGCCUCCUUGCCCGUCCAACAUUUCCUCAUUUCCAGCCCUUCUAGCCCCGAUGCUCUUCCCUCUUUUCCCUCUGCCCCACUACAAAGUUUCUCCCUGCAAGCGGUCACUAAGUUUGAGGUGCAAAGGAGCUCCUUAAACUUGACCCCAAAAAAACAUCUGGGUCAGAUGGUUUAGAUCCUUUCUUCUUUAAGGUUGCUGCCCCUAUCAUCGCCAAGCCUAUCUCUGACCUUUUUAACCUGUGUCUCCUCUCUGGAGAGGUUCCCAUUGCUUGGAAGGCAGCCAAGGUGCGUCCUUUAUUUAAAGGGGGAGAUCAAGCUGAUUGUAACUGUUAGGCCCAUUUCUAUUUUGCACUGUUUAUCAAAAGUAUUGGACAAAUGUAUCAAUAAUCAACUGACUGGCUUUUUUGAUAUCUAUAGCAUUCUGUCUGGUAUGCAAUCUGGUUUUCGCUCAGGUUAUAGAUGUGUCACUGUAACCUUAAAGUUUCUAAAUGAUGUCGCCAUUGCCCUUGAAUCGAAGCAAUGUUGUGCUGCUAUUUUUAAUGACUUGGUGAAAGCUUUUGAUAUGGUAGACCAUUCUAUUCUUGUGGUCCAGCUAAGGAGUAUUGUGUUUCUGAGGGGUCUCAAAAAUGCAGUGUUUAAAGUUAAAACAUCUGCUCUCUCAGCUACUGCCUGUCACCAAUGGAGUACCACAAGGCUCGAUCCUAGGCCCCACGCUCUUCACAAUUUACAUCAAUUUACAUCAACAAGCUCAGGCAGUAGGAAGCUCUCUCAUCCAUUUAUAUGCAGAUGAUACAGUAUUAUACUCAGCUGGCCCUUCCCAGGAUUCUGGGUUAGAGUUUUUCUCAGUCGCUUUGGUGCAUUUCUUAGAUCAAAAGUGCAAUUCUUGAUACUACUUGUACAAAUUCCAAAUCAUCUAGUCACUUGUGCACAUCAUUAAAGCAAGUUCUUAUUCCUUUGAACAAAUUGUAAUUGAUAAUGUACAAGUGUCAGCUUUUUUCCACAUUAUCAAUUGCUCAUGUCAUGUUGAUCAAAAUAUAGUAGAUGGUUCUCUGUUGAAUAGUCUUACCCCUCAAAACAUCUAGGCAUUAGUUCCUUGCAUAAGCCAUUACAUGCAAAAUUGUUGAACUAUUUGUC